UACAGAGGUCUCAAGCGUUGUUCGGAAUUAUUGGGCGUAAAGAGCUCGUAGGCGGUCUGUUGCGUCUGCUGUGAAAACUCGGGGCUUAACCCCGAGCCUGCAGUGGAUACGGGCAGACUAGAGGUAGGUAGGGGAGAAUGGAAUUCCCGGUGUAGCGGUGAAAUGCGCAGAUAUCAGGAGGAACACCGGUGGCGAAGGCGGGUCUCUGGGCCGAUACUGACGCUGAGGAGCGAAAGCGUGGGGAGCGAACAGG
rnacentral:rRNA from 1 species